UGCGUUGGAUUUCUUUAUUCCGAAGCAGGGGAUGAAGGUGCAAGCUGAGAAGAUCUCGGAUGCAUGGGAUGUUGCUGAAUGGAAACGGUUGGGAGAUUUGGGAUGCUAACGGGAUGACAACUCUGUUUGAAACAGGGGAGGAUGCGGUUGGAUGCCGUGAAGCUCGGGAGGAACUCGGAUCAAGCUUGGGAGCGGAUGCAAGGCUGUUCCGCUAGGAGGAUGGCGCUGAUCCGAAGCUGAAGAUAAGAUGAGCUGG
rnacentral:lncRNA from 1 species